AUUGAACGCUGGUGGCAGGCUUAACACAUGCAAGUCGAGCGGAGUGAUGGUGCUUGCACUAUCACUUAGCGGCGGACGGGUGAGUAAUGCUUAGGAAUCUGCCUAUUAGUGGGGGACAACAUCUCGAAAGGGAUGCUAAUACCGCAUACGUCCUACGGGAGAAAGCAGGGGAUCACUUGUGACCUUGCGCUAAUAGAUGAGCCUAAGUCGGAUUAGCUAGUUGGUGGGGUAAAGGCCUACCAAGGCGACGAUCUGUAGCGGGUCUGAGAGGAUGAUCCGCCACACUGGGACUGGGACACGGCCCAGACUCCUACGGGAGGUAGCAGUGGGGAAUAUUGGACAAUGGGGGGAACCCUGAUCCAGCCAUGCCGCGUGUGUGAAGAAGGCCUUAUGGUUGUAAAGCACUUUAAGCGAGGAGGAGGCUCUUUUGGUUAAUACCCAGAAUGAGUGGACGUUACUCGCAGAAUAAGCACCGGCUAACUCUGUGCCAGCAGCCGCGGUAAUAC
rnacentral:rRNA from 1 species